rnacentral:rRNA from 1 species
AUUGAACGCUGGCGGCAGGCCUAACACAUGCAAGUCGAGCGAGCGGCGGACGGGUGCGUAAUGUCUGGGAAACUGCCUGAUGGAGGGGGAUAACUACUGGAAACGGUAGCUAAUACCGCAUACCAUCAGAUGUGCCCAGUUGGGAUUAGCUAGUAGGUGGGUUAACGGCUCACCUAGGGGAGGAUCCCUAGCUGGUCUGAGAGACUGACCGGCCACACUGGAACUGGGACACGGUCCAGACUCCUACGGGAGGCAGCAGUGGGGAAUGUGGCACAAUGGGCGCAAGCCUGAUGCAGCCAUGCCGCGUGUGUGAAGAAGGCCUUCGGGUGGUAAAGCACUUUCAGCGGGGAGGCGUUACCCGCAGAAGAAGCACCGGCUAACUCCGUGCCAGCAGCCGCGGUAAUUC